GAUGAACGCUGACAGAAUGCUUAACACAUGCAAGUCUUUGGCGAAGCUGUGCUUGCACAGCCUAGCCAAGGCGGACGGGUGAGUAACGCGUAAGGAACUUGCCCUGCAGUCAGGGAUAACAGACGGAAACGACUGAUAAGACCUGGUAAAGUCAGGCGGACUCAUGUCCAGCCUGAUGAAAAGAGAUGCUGCAGGAGAGCCUUGCGUCCCAUUAGCUUGUUGGUGGGGUAACGGCCCACCAAGGCGAUGAUAGGUAGCCGGCCUGAGAGGGUGGACGGCCACAAGGGGACUGAGAUACGGCCCUUACUCCUACGGGAGGCAGCAGUGGGGAAUAUUGGACAAUGGGGGCAACCCUGAUCCAGCAAUUCUGUGUGCACGAUGAAGGUUUUCGGAGUGUAAAGUGCUUUCAGCAGGGAAGAAAAAAAUGACGGUACCUGCAGAAGAAGCGACGGCUAAAUACGUG
rnacentral:rRNA from 1 species